GAGUAACACGUGAGUAAUCUGCCCCGAAGUCUGGGAUAGCCCAUGGAAACGUGGAUUAAUACCGGAUGUGGCUGUAUGAACUGCGGUUCUAACAGUUAAAGAUUCAUCGCUUCGGGAUGAGCUCGCGGUCCAUCAGCUUGUUGGUGAGGUAACGGCUCACCAAGGCGACGACGGAUAGCUGGUCUGAGAGGAUGACCAGUCACACUGGGACUGAGACACUGCCCAGACUCCUACGGGAGGCUGCAGUCGAGAAUCUUCCGCAAUGGGCGCAAGCCUGACGGAGCGAUGCUGCGUGCCGGACGAAGGCCUUCGGGUCGUAAACGGCUGUCACUCGGGACGAAUUUUGACGGUACCGAGAGAGGAAGCCACGGCUAACUACGUGCCAGCAGCCGCGGUAAUACGUAGGUGGCGAGCGUUAUUCGGAAUUAUUGGGCCUAGAGGGUUCGUAGGGGGUAAUGUAAGUCCGGUGUGAAAUCUCGAGGCUCAACCUCGAAACUGCAUUGGAAACUGCAUUACUUGAGUGUCAGAGAGGAAAGCGGAAUUCCUGGUGUAGCGGUGGAAUGCGUAGAUAUCAGGAAGAACACCGACGGCGAAGGCAGCUUUCUGGCUGGCAACUGACCCUGAUGAACGAAAGCUAGGGUAGCGAACAGGAUUAGAUACCCUGGUAGUCCUAGCUGUAAACGUUGUGCACUGGAUGUGGGCGGAUUUGGUCCCGUCUGUGUCUGAGCGAAGGCGUUAAGUGCACCGCCUGGGGACUACGGCCGCAAGGCUAAAACUCAAAGGAAUUGACGGGGGCCCGCACAAGCGGUGGAGCAUGUGGCUCAAUUCGAGGCAACGCGAAGAACCUUACCUGGGUUUGACAUAUACCUGACCGCCGGUGAGAGCCGGUUUCUCUUUGAGCAGGUAUACAGGUGCUGCAUGGCUGUCGACAGCUCGUGCUGUGAAGUGUUCGGUUAAGUCCGGCAAC
rnacentral:rRNA from 1 species